AGAGUUUGAUCCUGGCUCAGAACAAACGCUGGCGGCGUGCCUAACACAUGCAAGUCGAACGAGAAAGUCGGUUUCGGCCGAUGAGUAAAGUGGCGCACGGGUGAGUAACGCGUGGAUAAUCUACCCUUUAGUCCGGAAUAACUUGCCGAAAGGUGAACUAAUACCGGAUGACAUCCCGGGUUCUCCGGAAACCGGGAUCAAAGAAGGCCUCUGCUUGCAAGCUUUUGCUGAAGGAUGAGUCCGCGUACCAUUAGCUAGUUGGUGGGGUAAUGGCCUACCAAGGUUAUGAUGGUUAGCUGGUCUGAGAGGAUGAUCAGCCACACUGGAACUGAAACACGGUCCAGACUCCUACGGGAGGCAGCAGUGAGGAAUAUUGCGCAAUGGGGGCAACCCUGACGCAGCAACGCCGCGUGAGUGAGGAAGGUUUUCGGAUUGUAAAGCUCUGUCGAGCGGAAAGAAAUGCACGAUGGCUAAUAUCCAUCAUGCUUGACGGUACCGCUAGAGGAAGCACCGGCUAACUCCGUGCCAGCAGCCGCGGUAAUACGGGGGGUGCAAGCGUUGUUCGGAAUCAUUGGGCGUAAAGAGCGUGUAGGCGGCUGGACAAGUCAGAUGUGAAAUCCCUGGGCUUAACCCAGGAAGUGCAUUUGAAACUGUCUAGCUGGAGUAAGGGAGAGGAAAGUGGAAUUCCUGGUGUAGAGGUGAAAUUCGUAGAUAUCACGAGGAACACCGGUGGCGAAGGCGACUUUCUGGCCCUAUACUGACGCUGAGACGCGAAAGCGUGGGGUAGCAAACAGGAUUAGAUACCCUGGUAGUCCACGCUGUAAACGAUGUUCACUAGGUGUUGGGGGUAUUGACCCUUUCAGUGCCGCAGCUAACGCAUUAAGUGAACCGCCUGGGGAGUACGGUCGCAAGAUUAAAACUCAAAGGAAUUGACGG
rnacentral:rRNA from 1 species